rnacentral:lncRNA from 1 species
UAGAUGGAAAGCAGAAUACGAAUUGAUUGUGUUAGACUCGACAAUCUGAAUCAAUACAUUUGAAUCACAACCAUAAAAGGCUCAUCCACAUCCAAACAGUUUCAACUAAUCAGUUAAUAGCCAUAGUCCUUAAUCAGCAACACAUUAAAGGUCCAAACAGCCCUAAAUCACUACAUGCAAGCAAACUCAAAUCCAAACCUUAAAGUGAAAUACAACAUUAAUGAUAUAAAUGACUCUACAUGAUGAACUAAACUCAAGAACACAGGAAGAAAGUAUAAUAAACUCUAGCAGUCAUUUGACAAAGAAACACGUAGCAAUUAUCAGUUUUCCUCAAGCUUGGUUACAUGACUUUCAUAUUUGCAUUUCAAGUGCUAUUCAGGAGUCAUUAAAUACCUCAAUACAGCAAAAAUAGAAUUAGAAACCAAUUGAAAAUCCAGGAGAAAACAGCAACAGUAAUAAACAGUAGGAGCAGUGAUUCAACAGGAGAAAUAGCAGCAGAAAUCAAC